UACGAAGGGGGCUAGCGUUGCUCGGAAUCACUGGGCGUAAAGCGCACGUAGGCGGAUCGUUAAGUCGGGGGUGAAAUCCUGGAGCUCAACUCCAGAACUGCCUUCGAUACUGGCGAUCUUGAGUCCGGAAGAGGUGAGUGGAACUCCUAGUGUAGAGGUGGAAUUCGUAGAUAUUAGGAAGAACACCAGUGGCGAAGGCGGCUCACUGGUCCGGUACUGACGCUGAGGUGCGAAAGCGUGGGGGAGCAAACAGG
rnacentral:rRNA from 1 species